AUGCAGACAAAGACAUUUCAAUCUCUCUUCAGGUUAAUUUAAAAAGUGGUCCUCACAUCCAACAAUGCCAUGAAAUCACUCCAAGAUUCCUCUUACUUAAGACAAGGACUUACAUCAACACAAACUAACAAAAUCCAAAACAUACAUUCACACAGAAAGUGCAUGUCCAAGAAGAUGAAGAAAGAACAAUUGGUGUUUAUCCCUCAUCCUGGUUUGAGCCACCUAGUUUCCACCCUAGAGUUCGAUAAGCUUCUAAUCAACUGUGAUAACCGUCUCCAAAUAAUUGUCUUACGUAUUAAAUUUCCAAACAAUACAUAA